rnacentral:rRNA from 1 species
GACGAACGCUGGCGGCGUGCUUAACACAUGCAAGUCGAACGGAAAGGCCCUGCUUUUGUGGGGUGCUCGAGUGGCGAACGGGUGAGUAACACGUGAGUAACCUGCCCUUGACUUUGGGAUAACUUCAGGAAACUGGGGCUAAUACCGGAUAGGAGCUCCUGCUGCAUGGUGGGGGUUGGAAAGUUUCGGCGGUUGGGGAUGGACUCGCGGCUUAUCAGCUUGUUGGUGGGGUAGUGGCUUACCAAGGCUUUGACGGGUAGCCGGCCUGAGAGGGUGACCGGCCACAUUGGGACUGAGAUACGGCCCAGACUCCUACGGGAGGCAGCAGUGGGGAAUAUUGCACAAUGGGCGGAAGCCUGAUGCAGCAACGCCGCGUGCGAGAUGACGGCCUUCGGGUUGUAAACAGCUUUCGCCUGUGACGAAGCGUGAGUGACGGUAAUGGGUAAAGAAGCACCGGCUAACUACGU